rnacentral:rRNA from 1 species
UACGAAGGGGGGCUAGCGUUGCUCGGAAUGACUGGGCGUAAAGGGCGCGUAGGCGGUUUGGACAGUCAGAUGUGAAAUUCCUGGGCUCAACCUGGGGGCUGCAUUUGAUACGUUCGGACUAGAGUGGGGGAAGAGGGUCGUGGAAUUCCCAGUGUAGAGGUGAAAUUCGUAGAUAUUGGGAAGAACACCGGUGGCGAAGGCGGCGACCUGGUCCUUGACUGACGCUGAGGCGCGAAAGCGUGGGGAGCAAACAGG